rnacentral:rRNA from 1 species
AAUGAACGUUGGCGGCGUGGAUUAGGCAUGCAAGUCGAGCGCGAACCCCGCAAGGGGUGAAAGCGGCGAAAGGGAGAGUAACGCGUGAGUAUUUACCCUCGGGACUGGGAUAGCUGCGGGAAACUGCAGGUAAUACCAGAUGACGUCCCCGGACCAAAGGUGUGAUUCCGCCUGAGGAUAAGCCCGCGUCCUAUUAGCUAGUUGGUGAGGUAAUGGCUCACCAAGGCAAUGAUGGGUACUGGGUGUGAGAGCACGACCCAGCUCACUGGGACUGGGACACUGCCCAGACACCUACGGGUGGCUGCAGUCGAGAAUCUUCGGCAAUGGGCGCAAGCCUGACCGAGCGACGCCGCGUGUGGGAUGAAGGCCUUCGGGUUGUAAACCGCUGUCAGAGGGGAGGAAUGGGCGGAGGGUAAUCUCUUCGUUUUGACCUAUCCUCAGAGGAAGUACGGGCUAAGUUCGUGCCAGCCGCCGCGGUAA